UACGUAGGGUGCAAGCGUUGUCCGGAAUUACUGGGCGUAAAGAGCUCGUAGGUGGUUUGUCGCGUUGUUCGUGAAAACUCACAGCUUAACUGUGGGCGUGCGGGCGAUACGGGGCAGACUUGAGUACUGCAGGGGGAGACUGGAAUUCCUGGUGUAGCGGUGGAAUGCGCAGAUAUCAGGAGGAAGACCAGUGGCGAAGGCGGGUCUCUGGACAGUUCCUGACACUGAGGCACGAAGGCCAGGGGAGCAAACGGG
rnacentral:rRNA from 1 species